UUAACUUCCAUGUGAUUGUAUUGUUUCCAAAAUUACUCUUCUUAUUGAUACCUAGUUUUAUUCCUUUGUAGUCAAAGAAGAUGGCCACGGAGACAGCAGCGUGGUCAGAGUGGUAGGAGCCGGCCAUCAGCGAGAGCUGCUCCAUGCCUGGCUGCUGGGUGCUACAGCCUGUGGCCCACUGGCUUGCCUCACUGUGGUUGGUGGUGGCGGUGACAGAGACUGCAGCACGACCAAAGUGGCUUUUCUGGCUUUGCCCGCCCAGCUGCUCCAUGCCAGGAGGAGGAGGAGACACCUAGAGCCUGCGACACCACGGCUCGCCUCGCUGCGGGAGGGUGGCAUCAACGGAGACUGCAGUGCACCAGAGUGUUCUAGAGUGUAUGAAGAACCAAAUGAUGUAAUUGUAUGCGACCUGGCUGUAGUGGAACAAAUUUGACUCUAAAGUAUGCAGGCUCUAAUUUUCCUGUCUGGUUUUGGUAAGUAUUCCUUACAUAGGUUUUUUCUUUGAAAAUCUGGGAUUGAGAGGUU
rnacentral:lncRNA from 10 species